ensembl:snRNA U6 U6 spliceosomal RNA
GUGCUCACUUCGGCAGCACAUAUACUAAAAUUGGAACAAUACAGAGAAGACUUGCAUGGCCCUGAGCAAGGAUGACAUGCAAAUUCAUGAAGUGUUUCAUAUGUAA